UUUUCAUUGCAGCUAGACAUUUCAUAAAUAGAUAAUUCUCUAAUUGAUCCAACCAAUCCUACUUUGCAUGCCCUGCCAAACUAGACUCUUUAAUGCAGUCCUGAUUUCUGUAUUAAUGAAUUGAGAAGAUGACAUCAGACUCUUAGGGAGAAUGAGGGAGAAGAUGGAGAGAGGUCGGAGCUUGGGAAGGCAAACUGUGUGACAACAAAAGCCACAAAGCGAAGAAAAGAGAAACCGUGAAGAAGACAAGUUUUUAUCUGAAGAAGGAAUUUGGUUCCUGAAAGCCUGCCCUAAGGUUUACAG